ensembl:lncRNA
UUUCAAAGCAUAAGCAGAUAUGUAUCAAAUAGUCACAGCGGCAGAUGAAUGUGAUUCCGUGUCUCGCUUGACAUUGUUGCUAAGCCUGUCUUCAACUUUUCAUGCUACUGUGAAAUUACUCGAUUUACAGCUGCUGCAGACAGAGGCUCAUGGACAAGUUGUAAUGGUCCUUGAAUGGCUGCUAGGACCCGUGCAGUUCAUACCUCAGCACUAAAGCAGGAGACGGGUUGGUCUAAGGUCCCGUUGCGAGGCACUGGUAGAUAAAGCACACUCCAGACAAUGGCCUGUUCUGCUCAUGCAGAUGAUGGUGUGCAAUAUCAAAGCCAAAUGAGAUGGCUGCCAAUUAGGGAGGGCUUCCAAGUGCAUUUCAAUGCAAACUCGCACCG